CGCGGCAGACGGCUCAGGACAACGGUUGCACCCCCCGCGGCGGUCCCUGCUAGCCGGACACCGCUGGCAACCCGGCGCCAAGACGUGCGCGCAAGGGCGGGCGCCCGCGGGCGAGCAGCGUGACGCAGA
rnacentral:rRNA from 1 species